GCGAUACAGGGUGACAGCCCCGUACACAAAAAUGCACAUACUGUGAGCUCGAUGAGUAGGGCGGGACACGUGGUAUCCUGUCUGAAUAUGGGGGGACCAUCCUCCAAGGCUAAAUACUCCUGACUGACCGAUAGUGAACCAGUACCGUGAGGGAAAGGCGAAAAGAACCCCGGCGAGGGGAGUGAAAAAGAACCUGAAACCGUGUACG
rnacentral:rRNA from 1 species